rnacentral:rRNA from 1 species
UACGUAGGGGGCAAGCGUUGUCCGGAUUUAUUGGGUUUAAAGGGUGCGUAGGCGGCUUUGUAAGUCAGUGGUGAAAUAUGGCAGCUCAACUGCCGGGGUGCCAUUGAUACUGCGGAGCUUGAGUACAGAUGAGGUAGGCGGAAUUGACGGUGUAGCGGUGAAAUGCUUAGAUAUCGGCAAGAACACCGAUAGCGAAGGCAGCUUACUGGGCUGUAACUGACGCUGAGGCACGAAAGUGUGGGGAUCAAACAGG